rnacentral:rRNA from 1 species
UACGAAGGGUGCAAGCGUUACUCGGAAUUACUGGGCGUAAAGCGUGCGUAGGUGGUUUGUUAAGUCUGAUGUGAAAGCCCCGGGCUUAACCUGGGAAUGGCAUUUGGGACUGCAAGGCUUGAGUGCGGCAGAGGAGACUGGAAUUCCUGGUGUAGCAGUGAAAUGCGUAGAUAUCAGGAGGAAUACCGAUGGCGAAGGCAGGUCUCUGGGCUGACACUGACGCUCAUGCACGAAAGCGUGGGGAGCAAACAGG